rnacentral:miRNA from 1 species
UGCCUGUGUCUGGGAACAAAGCUCAAGCUGUGAUUUCAAGCCCUGGGGUGUUUUCUGUGACUCAGAAAAUACCUGCUAGGCUUGAACUUCACAAUUUGAGAAAAUGCAUCAAAAACUUGA